ACGUGCGCAGUGCGGCGUGGUCGGCGGGGGUGACGCCGCGGGCGAGGAUGUCGCGCACGGCCUGGUUGGCCUUCAGGCGCGCGUCC
rnacentral:tRNA from 1 species